ensembl:lncRNA
CCCGGCGCGACCGGAGGAGGCUGCGCGGUCGCUGAGGGCUGCGACUCCUGCCACCCUCACCUGGGACCACAACUUUCUUCCCCUUCGUCUGGGGACCGCGACCCCUACCCCUUCGCCCUGGACUUCCACCCCCACUCCGUCUUUGCCCGGGACCCCGGCCCCGCCCCCCUCGCCCCGGGUCCCCGCCCUAUCUGGCGGUCCGCUUGGUGGGGUCGGGAGAGCCGCUCGAGCGCGCUCGCAAGAAGGGAGAAGGCGGUGUCGCCUGUCAGUGGAGCGGAUGCCCUGGGUUGCUGUCGACCAGCAACAGUCUCUGGAUUUGAAGGGAAAUGCUGAAGACUCAGGACGUCUUCCCAAACACGAGCAUGUGCCACCCAUCCCAACCCAUUCUUGGCGGGGGCGGGGGGAGAUUAGAGUAAAUUACGGUCACCUCCUGUAAGCUUGCUGCCUGACUUCCUGUAUCCCUGCUCCGGUUGGUUGUUGAUUAUAGACGUACGUACGAACUGGAAAGGCUUCUCUCUCUGGGACACUGUCCAGUCUUCUGCGUGCACCUGUGUUUCUUACCUGUUCCUUUCGAGGUAUCCAAAUGCCGACAGGACUGCGCUUCGGACUUAGACGUCUUGACUGGGAAGAUCAUAUAUUGCCAUCUGUGUUCGGCGCCUUCUGCUUUGGCCUACGUUGUCACAUACUCGCUCUGAGAAACUUGCAUGUUCAAAAUGCUAUUCACAGCAAUGUCUUUGAAGAUAAUCACGUAAGACUGAGGUUUCCUCUGAUGUUGAAAGCACAUACACGUUUCAGGGGGAAAGUCAUAUUGUAGAGUUCGCUUUCCCAGAAAACCUCUUGGGUGUAGUGUGACCCUUCUCAGCUGCCUCCAGUUUGAACCUCUCGGCCUGAGGUGUCUACCCUUGGCCCAGAGAAUAGUCCAGAGGCCCAGCGAUGUGGUCCACCUUUGAAAGACCGUGAAGUCUCCAAAGCUGACCAGACUGAGCAUCAAGAGAAGAACUUUGAAGUGAAACCCGGAAGCUCAACGGGAAGAAGGAGGGCAAAGGAAAUGAAAACCAGAGAUUUGAGAAGAAAGACCGGAAACUUGGCAGUGCCCUCUCCAAGCCAGGCCAGCAGUUUUAUUGCAGGCCGUCUGCGUUCCAGUGAACUCUUGGCAAGUUGUGUGUGUGAUGCCACAGCUGUUAAACCCAGGGAAGGAGACGUAAAGGGGAAGAAAUUACUGCGAUUUUUGGCUCUAAUGCAAGAAUGGUUCAACAUACAAAGAUUCAUCCAUGCAGUAUCACACAUUAACCUGACGAAUGGUUCAACCCCGCUGGAUCAUCUCAGAUGACGCGGAAAAACGCCUUUGACAGCGUGCGGUCCCAUUUGAUGAUAGAAAUACUGCCUGCUUAGGUCCCAGGUCACAGCUGAGGGUGCGCUGAGGGCGCCUGCUCUGCACACAACCUGCACUCGAGACUCGGGACUGUGUACCUCUCUCCGGUGGACACACCAGCACCUCUGAAAAUUUACGUCUGCUUUUACGAUGGGCUGUAGACGAAACAGCAGGUCACCUGUGGGCUGAGCGCCACUUCCCCGAGGGGAUGGACGGGAGGGGGAGGGAAGUGCAUCCCCCCACCCCCGACUCUGUUCAAAGCUGCGGUCUCCAGGGAUGGAAGUACUGUCUGGAUCUCGAGUGGGUGCGGAAAUGCUGUGACGUGUCGGUGCCUGGACCCUGCCCUUGCCUCAGAAUCAAGGUCCCAGUACCUCGUCUCCAGCCCCCCAUGGCUGCAGCAGGCCAUUGACCUGGGCGGCCCUGGAGACGCUUUGGGCUCAGAAUGUGAGCAGGGGGGCUGUGACGAGGCGGUGGUGCCGGGGCUCGAGUGUCUGGUUGAUUCGGGUCAUAUCCCAGGUAGGUGCGUUCGCGUGGUUCACUCAAGGAUGCAGCUUCCUGGAGACCCAGAGGCCCCCGCCUUUCGGGGGCGGGGGAGGGGGGGGUCCGAGGCUUGGUCCCAUUGCCAGGGACCGCUCUGGAAACUGGACAUUCGACCCAAUCCAGGUGGCAGCACAAGAAGCCAUUCUGUCCCCAGCUCUUGCUGGAGAAAGGACAGCUUGCUGGACGCGGCCCUUGAGUCUUCAUUUCCCAGACUUGGGGAAGUGGCUUGACUCCCGGGGACAAGGCCCCUGCUGCUUUCCUUGUCUCGGUGCUGGAGGCGCGGGGCACAUGGAGAAGCAGAGCCUCCCCUUCGGCGUGCUCUGGGCUUUGGGCUGGAAGCUCGCAGGACGGAGAGAGGGUUUCCAGCAAUGACACUGUGUCCGGGUGGGUGCGGGUGGGCUGGCGCUGUGCCCACACGCCUGGCAGAGCUCUCAGCCUGCGGGACCCUCCUCCCGUCGGGCGCCUAGACCCUACAGCACCUGCUUCUGGCCAUAACUUUUCUCUGGCCUCUUGUUCUUUUCUUACUUGCCUUUGUCCUGGUUUUUUAAUAUUUCAUAUGCUCCUCUUUUUCCAGUAGAUUAUAUUUUGUCCAGUCCUCAGGCCAUACCUCUGUACAUAAGAAAAUUAAAUAAUGCUGACAGG